ACUUUGAUAACUUACAAUUCUCUCCGCCAGGGAACUACGAGCGCUAGCUUAAAACCCAAAAGACUUGGCGGUGCCCUACACCCACCUAGAGGAGCCUGUUCUAUAAUCGAUACCCCCCGCUUUACCUCACCAAUUUUUGCCAAAUCCGCCUGUAUACCGCCGUCGCCAACUUACCCUUUGAAGGUCAAAAAGUAAGUAUAAUGGUCUCUCACCAGAACGUCAGGUCAAGGUGCAGCGAAUGAAUUGGAUAGAAAUGGGCUACAUUUUCUACUUUAGAAAAUACGGAAAAUCACUAUGAAACCUGAUUAGAAGGCGGAUUUAGCAGUAAAAAGAAACCAGAACGUUCUUUUUAAUCUGGCCCUAGGGCGCGCACACACCGCCCGUCACCCU
rnacentral:rRNA from 1 species